CGUAGAUUUUGUGUAAGUAAACAGUAGGGCACAUGGGUGUAUCUGGUUUGUGUGUGCUUAUGUAGCAAUGUAGAAAACCUAGUAAUAUUUAAUAAUGUAAAUUAAAUAGAACUUUCUUAUUUGAUUCCUUUACAUUAUAUUGAGAAAACAUAUGUGCAUUUGUACAUGUACAAUACAGCUUUGAUCACUUGAGUAUAUCUUGACUUCUGCAUGCCAGAUUAAACUUUUUAUCAAUAAUUACAAUACACGCGGGAAAG
rnacentral:lncRNA from 1 species